UACGAAGGGGGCUAGCGUUGCUCGGAAUCACUGGGCGUAAAGGGUGCGUAGGCGGGUCUUUAAGUCAGGGGUGAAAUCCUGGAGCUCAACUCCAGAACUGCCUUUGAUACUGAGGAUCUUGAGUUCGGGAGAGGUGAGUGGAACUGCGAGUGUAGAGGUGAAAUUCGUAGAUAUUCGCAAGAACACCAGUGGCGAAGGCGGCUCACUGGCCCGAUACUGACGCUGAGGCACGAAAGCGUGGGGGAGCAAAACAGG
rnacentral:rRNA from 1 species